UACGUAGGGGGCUAGCGUUGUCCGGAAUCAUUGGGCGUAAAGCGCGUGUAGGCGGUCCGGUAAGUCCGCUGUGAAAGUCGGGGGCUCAACCUCGGAUGCCGGUGGAGUACUGUCGGGCUUGAGUACGGAAGAGGCGAGUGGAAUUCCUGGUGUAGCGGUGAAAUGCGCAGAUAUCAGGAGGAACACCAAUUGCGAAGGCAGCUCGCUGGGAC
rnacentral:rRNA from 1 species